rnacentral:rRNA from 1 species
ACGUACACUCCUACGGGAGGCAGCAGUGGGGAAUAUUGGACAAUGGGCGCAAGCCUGAUCCAGCCAUGCCGCGUGAGUGAUGAAGGCCCUAGGGUUGUAAAGCUCUUUCACCGGAGAAGAUAAUGACGGUAUCCGGAGAAGAAGCCCCGGCUAACUUCAUGCCAGCAGCCGCGGUAAUACGAAGGGGGCCAGCGUUGUUCGGAAUUACUGGGCGUAAAGCGCACGUAGGCGGAUCGAUCAGUCAGGGGUGAAAUCCCAGGGCUCAACCCUGGAACUGCCUUUGAUACUGUCGAUCUGGAGUAUGGAAGAGGUGAGUGGAAUUCCGAGUGUAGAGGUGAAAUUCGUAGAUAUUCGGAGGAACACCAGUGGCGAAGGCGGCUCACUGGUCCAUUACUGACGCUGAGGUGCGAAAGCGUGGGGAGCAAACAGGAUUAGAAACCCCGGUAGUCCCAUG